AUGGGGUUAUGGCUCAGUGGUAGAGCACUCACCUUGCAUGUGUGAAGCCCUGGGUUUGAUCCCCAGCACCACAUA
rnacentral:tRNA from 1 species